UGGGAUGUUUUUUGCAUGGGUGUGUGUU
rnacentral:piRNA from 1 species